GAGCGAGAACCAAGAAAGCUUGCUUUCGAGGGGACAGCGGCGAAAGGGAGAGUAACAGGUAGAUACCUACCUCCAGGCUGGGAAUAGCGUCGGGAAACUGGCGGUAAUGCCCAAUAACAUCUACGGAUCAAAGCUCCGGCGCCUGGAGAUGGGUCUGCUCACUAUUAGCUAGUUGGUAAGGUAAUGGCUUACCAAGGCGACGAUGGUUAGCGGGCGUGAGAGCGUGGCCCGUCUCACUGGGACUGAGACACUGCCCAGACACCUACGGGUGGCUGCAGUCGAGAAUCUUCGGCAAUGGACGCAAGUCUGACCGAGCGAUGCCGCGUGCGGGAUGAAGGCCUUCGGGUUGUAAACCGCUGUCAGAGGGAAGGAAAUUUUGACCAAACCUCAGAGGAAGGUCGGGCUAAGUUCGUGCCAGCAGCCGCGGUAAGACGAGCCGACCGAACGUUAUUCGGAAUUACUGGGCUUAAAGGGUGCGUAGGCGGCCAUGCAAGUCAGAUGUGAAAUCCCACGGCUCAACCGUGGAACUGCGUUUGAAACUGCAUGGCUUGAGGGAGAUAGGGGUGAGCGGAACUGAUGGUGGAGCGGUGAAAUGCGUUGAUAUCAUCAGGAACACCGGUGGCGAAGGCGGCUCACUGGGUCUCUUCUGACGCUGAGGCACGAAAGCUAGGGGAGCGAACGGGAUUAGAUACCCCGGUAGUCCUAGCUGUAAACGAUGA
rnacentral:rRNA from 1 species